CGUAGGGUGCGAGCGUUAAUCGGGAUUACUGGGCGUAAAGCGUGCGCAGGCGGUUUUGAAGACAGAUGUGAAAUCCCCGGGCUCAACCUGGGACCUGCAUUUGUGACUGCAAGGCUAGAGUACGGUAGAGGGGGAUGGAAUUCCGCGUGUAGCAGUGAAAUGCGUAGAUAUGCGGAGGAACACCGAUGGCGAAGGCAAUCCCCUGGACCUGUACUGACGCUCAUGCACGAAAGCGUGGGGAGCAAACAGGAUUAGAUACCCUGGUAGUCCACGCCCUAAACGAUGUCAACUGGUUGUUGGGUCUUUACUGACUCAGUAACGAAGCUAACGCGUGAAGUUGACCGCCUGGGGAGUACGGCCGCAAGGUUG
rnacentral:rRNA from 1 species